AUGGAGUCUAUAACCUCUGCCAGUAUGUGUAUCAAGUGGAAUGGCCAGAGGUCUAAUUACUUCGAGCCCAAGAAAGGUUUACGUCAAGGUGAUCCAAUGUCGCCGUAUUUGUUUGUUCUUUGUCUGGAGAAGUUGUCCCAUAUAAUCUGUGAAGUUGUGGAUAGAGGGAACUGGAUAGGUCUGAAAGCAGACAGGAAAGGCCCAGUGAUAUCUCAUCUUAUGUUUGCGGACGACUAG